GAACCAUAUGACGAAUCUGGAUUCAAAUUCUCACGACGGUCGUCUGAGACGCAUUACGUGUCGCAACUGAUGCAAUGAUCCAUUUUUUCUGAUGGUC
rnacentral:snoRNA from 1 species